GUGUCGUGAUUUUCAUUUGUUUACUCCGAAACCAGUUCAACACGUGUGUAUUUUACUCAUUUUACUCUGCAAAAUAAAAUCGCUCCCCUUGGACACAGGAUGGAGGAUGCAACUCGUCUAGAGAAUAUUAUCUGGUGGUUGAACCGAUCAAAGUCGUUCAAGGACUGGGCGAUGAAAUCAAUCCGGACCAAUUUGCAUGCAUUCACGCAUAUUCAAAGAGGAAAAUGCAUCCAAAACAAAUUGUCGCCAGAGCUGAGGGAUGAACUGCUGCAGGAGCUGCAGAGGAGCACACGUCGUGAAGAAAUCAAAACUGAAGAGGGAUUUAGUCAGCAUGACGCACACUGCGUUGGUGUUGAUGAGCACCGCGACAAAAAAACUUGAUUUGCAUCAUCUCAUGUCAUUUGAACGUUGCAAUGUUGAUUCUCCACUCGAAUUCAUCGAGGUUCUCAGGGUGGUCACAAUUUCUGCUCCAAACGUCCGGCAGCUGAUAGUAGCCUUUGAUGACCUCGCAGAUUGUUUGAACAAUGCUGGUUUCAUCCGAAAUACGUUCAUAGAUCAUUUGAGCGCUCUGAAGGAGUUGAGAAUCUUGAAGGUGGUUGGAUGCGAUGGCACUUCUGUGGAUAUUGCGCUGCUCUACGAAAAACUUCCCAACUUGCUUGUCGUUAGCGCACCUUAUGUCCAAUUUGAGGACGCCAAAUUGUCUGAGUUGGACAUCGGAAAUUCUGCUAUUUGGUUAUUCAUGCAGCCUUCAUGAUCUUGAGGUUCUUUGCAGCCUCUUCACUUGGGAACUGAGCAGGUUUACAAUAUAACCUUUUUUCAACGAAAUUGCUCCAGUUGUAAAUAUUGAGUCAUUAUCAAAUUAAAGCCUUUACUCGCGCAUAUAGCUAAUAGAGUUUUAUGAGCAUCGCGAAUUCAAAGCAGUACGAAUUGUCAAGAAACGAUUUUUUCAAUGGUAGUAAUUGUCCAGACGGCUUAAUUCAAAUUGUACUCUUUUGUGGCUUCUCUAUUCUGGUGUGUAUUACUUGUAAGGGUUUAUUUUGGCAUGAAUAAAUCAAAUUACUUGGAAUUUCA